rnacentral:rRNA from 1 species
AUUGAACGCUGGCGGCAGGCCUAACACAUGCAAGUCGAACGGUAACAGGAAGAAGCUUGCUUCUUUGCUGACGAGUGGCGGACGGGUGAGUAAUGUCUGGGAAACUGCCUGAUGGAGGGGGAUAACUACUGGAAACGGUAGCUAAUACCGCAUGACGUCGCAAGACCAAAGAGGGGGACCUUCGGGCCUCUUGCCAUCGUAUGUGCCCAGAUGGGAUUAGCUAGUAGGUGGGGUAACGGCUCACCUAGGCGACGAUCCCUAGCUGGUCUGAGAGGAUGACCAGCCACACUGGAACUGAGACACGGUACAGACUCCUACGGGAGGCAGCAGUGGGGAAUAUUGCACGAUGGGCGCAAGCCUGAUGCAGCCAUGCCGCGUGUAUGAAGAAGGCCUUCGGGUGGUAAAGUGCUUUCAGCGGGGAGGAAGGGAGUAAAGUUAAUACCUUUGCUCAUUGACGUUACCCGCAGAGGAAGCACCGGCUAACUCCGU